UACCCAUUCGUGCUAGUGGGUCUUAUUAUUAUGGUGUCCAAAAGAGUAAUUUUUUUCCUACUAAUGUUUUUAAUAUUAAGUGUUUCAACUAUGCCGACGACGGACUUACCGACGACGGGCUUGCCUGAUAGAGUUCGUGCCCCGUACUUCUUCUCCAUUUUUCUCAUUCCUUGUCAGAAAGGCAAAGUUCGAUUAAAUGGUGUUUGCGAAGAUAAAUGGGAUGACGAAUUCGUAAAUAAAUUGAACA